AGCAACAAAAGAGUCCUGUGGCACCUUAUAAACUAACAGACAUAUUGAAGAAUAAGCCUUCAAGGGUGAAUAUCCACUUGGUCAGGUGCAUGCCAUUUUGCUUGUUCUU